GCGCGAUCGGCCAAUGAGAGCGCGCGAUGCCUAUUCUCCAUGCAAAUCUCCUGGUUUUUUAUUUGAAUGAGGGAUUUUGGCCACGCCUCCUGCCUUGAAAAAUGAGGCCCGUCUGCCGUGGUGGCGCUGCGGUCUUUUCAAUCGCGUCCGGAGGUGAAUUUUUUUCCGGUUGCCUCUUUUUUAAUCCUCGAGGUGUUUUUUUGUUUUGUUUUGUUUUUGCAUGGAGAUUCCUCAGUAGCCACCCCUCCAUGAAACUUGAGAAAAGAAGUAGGUGAGUGCUUAAAAAGCGAAAAGACUUUUCCAUAAAGUCUAGAAGCCUAGAGUACGGAAAAUUAUUAACAUUAAUUUUUGUUAAUUUUUAUCUUUUUGUUUUGUAAUGUUGAGGAAGAUUCAUGCAAUUUAGUUCAGUCUAGCAUUGAACUUGCCACGUAGCCCACACAGGUCUGGAAUUUGAAAUCAGUCGGCCUCAACCUCUCAAGUGUUGCUUACAGACAGAUCAGAGAACAAAUGUAAAAUCUCAUCAUCACGACUCAGGACCCACUUCCUGAACCACUGAAAGCUGGCUGGCUCAACCUGCCUGAUUUCUUCUAGCACCUCGGACUACCAGGCCAGGGGUGGCCCAGCCCGCCAUGAGCUGGGCUCUCCCUCAUCAAUCAAGAAGAUGUUCCACAGGCCAAUAUGGUGGGCAUUUCGUCACUUGAAGUUCCCUUUUUACAAGUGUUCUGACUUGUGUCAAGUUGACAUAAAAUUAGUCAGCACACCACUCAAUGUGUUCUUGUAAACAUUAGGUAUUCGCCCCGUGUGGCCACACAUUGUAAUCCCAGCACUCAGGAGGCUCCAGCAAGAACAAGCCCAAGAUCCUGCGGACCUAAUUAAUGUAAUGUGUCUUGACAAUGGAUAUCUGUUUAUGAUAUCAAAAUACCUAGGAUACCUACAAUGCUUGUGGUCUGCCCUCCCCUGACCCCGGCCUAUACCAUCUUCAGUCUCCACAGCAGCUGAAGCCACCAUGUGCCAUCGGGGCCAGUCCUUCCUGUCAACACCUGAACGAUAGACUCAUAAAUAUAGACUCUGCCUAUAUCACUUCAACACUGUCUUACUGCACCUAGGAACUAAGUUAUGAUUUCCACAUUUUUCGGUCACUUUGUACCUUUCUAGUAUUGAAAAAACUCCUCUAAAUACCUGUAUUUACUAUUGAUUGGGGGUAUUUUGUGAAGUUGCAGUCUUGAGUUGUAAUUUUUUUUCCA
ensembl:lncRNA